rnacentral:sRNA from 1 species
UGUGUUUUGUUGAAUUGCCCAGAAAACUGUUGUCUUCAUGUGAUAGGAACACAGCAGUUUAUUGUUGUCUUCUGACUGUUGAUUUAUUACUUCUUUUAGAAAAAGUUUUAACAAUCCAUAAGUCAAAAACUGACAGUGGUUCAUUGAGUUCACAACUUUAUAUUCUGCCUGAGAAAACGAAAUUCUCCAUUCUUCAUUUUCAUGUGGUCCUAAUGGGUGUCCAAUUGCUACAAAGUGAAAUCCAUUCCUGAUGAUGUCAUCAACAACUUCAGGGCCAGGCCACGAGUGACAUCUGUCUAUCCAUGAGGAGGCAGACGGAGGCCAACAGUCACUAACAAAACUCCAAGCAGUGUCAUAUUCGAGUGUCUCUGCUAUAUAACCACUACCACAAGGUCCAUGUUCGACAGAAUUAGGAAAAAUUGACGAACAUGUUAACUGUCUCAAUGUAGAACUAGAUAUAUAUACUCGGUCAUUCAUUGUGACACAUGCUAAUUGGACUUCUCUGUAUCUUGACCGUGUCAGUAACUCAAGUAAAGCGAAUCCUAGUGGACUCUCAGAACUGUCAGAAAGAAUCAAGGUUUUAGUGGCUGUGUUGCAAUACUGAGACAUGUCUAUGAUCACUCGGUGGUCGUUUGGCCAGUACAUAAAGUCUAAAUCUGAUCCCUUUAGUCUGAAACCUUCUCUGUUACUUCCACUCAACAUAGCAAUUUUCUCAUCAUCAGGUUGUAUUUGUCUGUCCAACAUAUCUUUGAUGUCCGCUGUCUCCCUCCUUAUGGCCACCUGUUUUGAGGUCCCAACCAUCUGACACAUCCCCACAAACAAGGACUCUGACAUGUGCUGCAGUCCAUUGUCUCUGUCAUUAUAAUAAUAUACAAUUUUUUUUUAAAAUGAAGAAGUUAGAGAAAUCAUUUACAUUUCACAUAUGCAUCAUAUUUUAUAGAAAUCAAGUAUGCGGUUCCAAGUGGUUUGCAGAUUAAAGUAAUGCACUGUC